AGUGCUUUCCUGCGGACGUGCGCUGCUGCCCAGCCUCAGGCUCCAGUCCUGCGCUGGCUGCUGCUGGCUGUCGUCAGCGAUGCCGCCGCCGGCCACAAGGUGGCAGUGCCGUGCUGCGUGGCUACACGCCCCUGGAAGCACCGGACCAGCCUUGGUCUGGCAAAAGUUUUCCAGUCUUUCCAGCAGAUGCGCCCAGGCCGUGAGCCCUCCCGGGCGGCCUGGAGGUGUUCUGAGGAUUGUCUCUAGUUCUGGCGACGUCUUGAAAGAACUGAGUCUGAGCGAGGCAGACAGACGGCAGCAUUAGUGGUGAUGGAGCUGCACUGCUAAAUGUGGAGAUGGGAGGGGAAACACACCUGGGCUUCCACAGGGCAGGAGAAGAUCUGUCACUUGGGCAGAGCCUUUGAGUCGCACUCAGGUGAUCUCCAGGUCUACACUCUCCCACCUGUGCUCCGAGGAGAGGUGUAGACUAUCUCUUGGAUUUUGCUUGGAGGAUGUCCUUUCCGGACUCAGGACCUAGGAGAGACCAGCAGGAAACAGAACAGAGUCUACAUAGGUGAAUAUCAAAGAAUCACCUGGAGAGAUUUACAGAUGUUUGUAGCUGGAGCCUACUCACCUACAGAGACCUCCUACAGAGGGGCUCUGCCCUGGCCUUUUGGGAUUCAGAGCUGAGGCGGGACACAGAGUUCGACAAAGCCAGAAGACUGAUAAUCUCAGACCUAACUGUACUGGGAGCUGGGAGCUGGGAGCUGUUGGCUUCAGGAAACUUAACCCUCUCUUGUUUAUUCUAUGGCCGAAAACUGCUGACUUCUUUUCGCUUUAACUCUGUGCUCUGGAGAAACUUAACUCUUUGUGCUUAAAUAAGCACUGGGGGUCACUUAACUCUUUGUUACUAUUCUGUGCUUUAAUAAACGCUGAGCAUUCUUCAA
rnacentral:lncRNA from 1 species